UACGAAGGGGGCUAGCGUUGCCCGGAAUCACUGGGCGUAAAGCGCACGUAGGCGGCUUUCUAAGUCAGGGGUGAAAUCCUGGAGCUCAACUCCAGAACUGCCUUUGAUACUGGGAAGCUCGAGUCCGGAAGAGGUGAGUGGAACUGCGAGUGUAGAGGUGAAAUUCGUAGAUAUUCGCAGGAACACCAGUGGCGAAGGCGGCUCACUGGUCCGGUACUGACGCUGAGGUGCGAAAGCGUGGGGAGCAAACAGG
rnacentral:rRNA from 1 species